rnacentral:rRNA from 1 species
GUGGGGAAUCUUGCGCAAUGGGCGAAAGCCUGACGCAGCCAUGCCGCGUGAAUGAUGAAGGUCUUAGGAUUGUAAAAUUCUUUCACCGGGGACGAUAAUGACGGUACCCGGAGAAGAAGCUCCGGCUAACUUCGUGCCAGCAGCCGCGGUAAUACGAAGGGGGCUAGCGUUGCUCGGAAUUACUGGGCGUAAAGGGCGCGUAGGCGGACAGCUUAGUCAGAGGUGAAAGCCCAGGGCUCAACCUUGGAAUUGCCUUUGAUACUGGAUGUCUUGAGUUUGGGAGAGGUGAGUGGAACUCCGAGUGUAGAGGUGAAAUUCGUAGAUAUUCGGAAGAACACCAGUGGCGAAGGCGACUCACUGGCCCAAUACUGACGCUGAGGCGCGAAAGCGUGGGGAGCAAACAGGAUUAGAAACCCCGGUAGUCC